rnacentral:rRNA from 1 species
CAGCCGCCACGGGAAUACGUAGGUGGCAAGCGUUGUCCGGAUUUAUUGGGCGUAAAGCGAGCGCAGGCGGUUUCUUAAGUCUGAUGUGAAAGCCCCCGGCUCAACCGGGGAGGGUCAUUGGAAACUGGGAGACUUGAGUGCAGAAGAGGAGAGUGGAAUUCCAUGUGUAGCGGUGAAAUGCGUAGAUAUAUGGAGGAACACCAGUGGCGAAGGCGACUCUCUGGUCUGUAACUGACGCUGAGGAGCGAAAGCGUGGGGAGCGAACAGGAUUAGAUACCCCAGUAGUCCCUGUCUCUUAUAC